rnacentral:lncRNA from 1 species
CGUGUACAAAAAAUUUCCUUUCACUUUGAGUCCUCCUGAACUUCUUGCAGCCAUGCUUCUUCACAUAUUUCUUAAUAAAUAUAUCUACUGAUUUUGAGCAGUCCCAAACCUUGUUCUCUAAACUUCAACAUGGAAAAUUUCAAACCAAUAGAAAUUUGAUGAAUAGAUCAGGAAAUUCGAAACAUAACAAGAAAGUAAAAAAAAAAGAAAUAAAAUUAGAAACUCACCAACCGAAAUUAGGGUUUGGAUUUGGACAAAGUGCAAUGAUUAAUGAUGGUUAAAACAUGAACCGAAACAAAAGAAUAUUGGCCGAAAUUUGAAAUUGUUUUGAGAGAUGAGUAGAGUGGGAUUAUAAAAUGCUUCAAGUGAUGAGUGUAUUAUGUUGCUUCAACUUAGAUUAUAUAAUAAAGGCCUUAGCU